GGUCCGGUAGUUCAGUUUGGUUAGAACGCUGGCCUGUCACGCCAGAGGUCGCGGGUUCGAGUCCCGUCCGGACCG
rnacentral:tRNA from 1 species